AGAGUUUGAUCCUGGCUCAGGAUGAACGCUGGCGGCGUGCUUAACACAUGCAAGUCGAACGGAGUUUUAGUAAUUGAUUGAUUAAGCUUGCUUUUGAGAGAUUUUACUAAAACUUAGUGGCGGACGGGUGAGUAACGCGUGGGUAACCUGCCGUAUACAGGGGGACAACAGUUGGAAACGACUGCUAAUACCGCAUAAGCGCACAGUAUCGCAUGAUACAGUGUGAAAAACUCCGGUGGUAUACGAUGGACCCGCGUCUGAUUAGCUAGUUGGUGAGGUAACGGCCCACCAAGGCGACGAUCAGUAGCCGGCCUGAGAGGGUGAACAGCCACAUUGGGACUGAGACACGGCCCAAACUCCUACGGGAGGCAGCAGUGGGGAAUAUUGCACAAUGGGGGAAACCCUGAUGCAGCGACGCCGCGUGAGUGAAGAAGUAUUUCGGUAUGUAAAGCUCUAUCAGCAGGGAAGAAAAUGACGGUACCUGACUAAGAAGCCCCGGCUAACUACGUGCCAGCAGCCGCGGUAAUACGUAGGGGGCAAGCGUUAUCCGGAUUUACUGGGUGUAAAGGGAGCGUAGACGGUUAAGUAAGUCUGAAGUGAAAGCCCGGGGCUCAACCCCGGGACUGCUUUGGAAACUAUUUAACUGGAGUGCAGGAGAGGUAAGUGGAAUUCCUAGUGUAGCGGUGAAAUGCGUAGAUAUUAGGAGGAACACCAGUGGCGAAGGCGGCUUACUGGACUGUAACUGACGUUGAGGCUCGAAAGCGUGGGGAGCAAACAGGAUUAGAUACCCUGGUAGUCCACGCCGUAAAACCAAAAUUACUAGGUGUCGGGGGUUAU
rnacentral:rRNA from 1 species